ACGUAGGAGGCGAGCGUUGUCCGGGUUUACUGGGCGUAAAGCGCGUGUAGGCGGGAAGGCAAGUCUUCUGUGAAAUCUCCCGGCUCAACUGGGAGGGUGCAGGGGAUACUACCUUUCUUGAGGGCAGCAGAGGGAAGUGGAAUUCCCGGUGGAGCGGUGAAAUGCGUAGAUAUCGGGAGGAACACCAGUGGCGAAGGCGGCCACCUGGACGGCUACUGACGCUGAGGCGCGAAAGCGUGGGGAGCGAACG
rnacentral:rRNA from 1 species